rnacentral:rRNA from 1 species
CCUACGGGAGGCUGCAGUGAGGAAUAUUGGGCAAUGGGCGAGAGCCUGAACGAGCCAAGUAGCGUGAAGGAUGACUGCCCUACGGGUUGUAAACUUCUUUUAUAAAGGAAUAAAGUGAGGCACGUGUGCCAUUUUGUAUGUACUUUAUGAAACAGGAAAGGCUAACUCCGUGCCAGCAGCCGCGGUAAUACGGAGGAUACGAGCGUUAUCCGGAUUUAUUGGGUUUAAAGGGAGCGUAGAUGGGUUGUUAAGUCAGUUGUGAAAGUUUGCGGCUCAACCGUAAAAUGGCAAUUGAUACUGGCAGUCUUGAGUACAGUUGAGGUAGGCGGAAUUCGUGGUGUAGCGGUGAAAUGCUUAGAUAUCACGAAGAACUCCGAUUGCGAAGGCAGCUUACUAAACUGCCACUGACAUUGAUGCUCGAAAGUGUGGGUAUCAAACAGGAUUAGAUACCCCUGUAGUC